UACGGGGGGGGCAAGCGUUGUUCGGAAUUACUGGGCGUAAAGGGUUCGUAGGUGGCUUGUUAAGUCAGACGUGAAAUCCCUCGGCUCAACCGGGGAACUGCGUCUGAGACUGAUGAGCUCGAGUGCAGGAGAGGAACGCGGAAUUCCAGGUGUAGCGGUGAAAUGCGUAGAUAUCUGGAGGAACACCGGUGGCGAAGGCGGCAUCCUGGACCGACACUGACGCUGAGGAGCGAAAGCCAGGGGAGCAAACGGG
rnacentral:rRNA from 1 species